rnacentral:tRNA from 1 species
CUCGUUCGUGAGGCUACAACUCACCG